GACAGAGGGUGCAAACGUUGUUCGGAAUUACUGGGCGUAAAGGCGUGAGUGUAGGCGGUUUGCUAAGUCGGGGUGUGAAAGCCCCGGGCUCAACCCGGGAAGUGCCACUCGAAACUGGCAGGCUAGAGUAACUGGAGAGGUUGGUGGAAUUCGUCGGUGUGAUGGAGGUGAAAGUUCGUAAGAUAUCGAGAGGAACACCGGUGGGCGAAGGCGGGCC
rnacentral:rRNA from 1 species